rnacentral:lncRNA from 1 species
CUCUCGUCUCCGUCUGUCCGUAAUGGAUACUGGGUCACGGAUUGGAGGAGUGCGCGUGGUGGUGGUGGUGGUGCGGGGGGUCUCACGGUGACAAACGCAGAAGCCGUUUUUUUUUUUUUUUUUUUUAGAAGGGGAGUGCAGAAGGAGGUGGGAAAGUGGCACAGGAGCGACACUGUUGCAUGUUUUUCCUCAUUGGAUAGAGGCUGAACGAUGGGCCAGAGGGGACUGUCCGACUUCUUCCACAAUUCGCCUCCCCCGCCCCCCUCCUCCCCCAAAGGGAUAUUCUUACUCAAUUUGGGAUGCGUGCAACACCAAGUGAUCACACAUAUUACUUGGGCGGCGGUGCUGCUGGAGCUGGCUUUUGGCUGCGAUGGACGGCGAAGUUUCACUUGCAGGUCUCGUGCAGGCGGACACGCGGCCAUCCAGACUAUCGGUGCCUUUUGCGCGCGUGUUGCGUGGGGCCCUCCGGUUGACUGCGGCGAUGGCGACACCUGUCCCGGACACAGCAGAAGGAUCAACUUGCCAAAGACGUGGACCCACAAGCAAAACUCACCAAACCGACCUGCAGCGAUCAGGCGAGUCCAGCCAGUCAAAAGCUGA